rnacentral:rRNA from 1 species
AGAGAGAGACAUGCGCGCAUAUCAAUAAGCGGAGGAAAAGAAACUAACAAGGAUUCCCCUAGUAACGGCGAGUGAAGCGGGAAGAGCUCAAAUUUGAAAUCUUAAAGGGUUUCCCUUUACGAAUUGUAGUUUAAAGAAGUGUUUUCUGUUGAGGUUUUGGUAAAAGUUCUUUGGAAUAGGACAUCAUAGAGGGUGAGAAUCCCGUAUUUGACCUUUACUUUCAACUUUGUGAUACACUUUCAAAGAGUCGGAUUGUUUGGGAAUGCAGUCCAAAAUGGGUGGUAAAUUUCAUCUAAAGCUAAAUAUUGGCGAGAGACCGAUAGCGAACAAGUACCGUGAGGGAAAGAUGAAAAGAACUUUGAAAAGAGAGUUAAACAGUACGUGAAAUUGUCAAAAGGGAAGCGUUUGACACCAGUGUUGUUUUUCUGAAAAUCAAUUAAAGAACUGUUUAUGCUAAGCUGUUUAGACUUUAUCAGCUAUCUGUUUAGUUUUGAGCUUUUCUUUAACGCACUUUUCAGUUAACAAGUCAACAUCAAUUUCUUUUGCUGUAAAAAAGCUUGAGGAAGGUGGCUUGAGAUUCGUCUUAAGUGUUUAUAGCCUCUUGCCUAUGCAGUCGGAGAGAUUGAGGUCUGCAGCGUAGAUCCUUCGGGGCUAAAUGCAUUUGUGCUAAGUUAUAGCAUUUUAUAGACAACUUGUUGACUAUGAUUUGUCUUGUAGCUUACUCGCUUAUGUUAUUUUACCUACGCUUAGGAUGUUGACGCAUGAGAUAUACGC